rnacentral:tRNA from 1 species
GCCCUUGUAGCCUAAUGGAUAUGGCGUUUGCUUCCUAAGCAAAAGGUUGUGGGUUCGAAUCCCACCUGGGGUA